CCUACGGGAUGCAGCAGUGAGGAAUAUUGGUCAAUGGACGAGAGUCUGAACCAGCCAAGUAGCGUGAAGGAUGACUGCCCUAUGGGUUGUAAACUUCUUUUAUAAAGGAAUAAAACGAGGCACGUGUGCCUGUUUGCAUGUACUUUAUGAAUAAGGAUCGGCUAACUCCGUGCCAGCAGCCGCGGUAAUACGGAGGAUCCGAGCGUUAUCCGGAUUUAUUGGGUUUAAAGGGAGCGUAGAUGGGUUGUUAAGUCAGUUGUGAAAGUUUGCGGCUCAACCGUAAAAUUGCAAUUGAUACGGGCAGUCUUGAGUACAGUUGAGGUAGGCGGAAUUCGUGGUGUAGCGGUGAAAUGCUUAGAUAUCACGAAGAACCCCGAUUGCGAAGGCAGCUUACUAAACUGUGACUGACAUUGAUGCUCGAAAGUGUGGGUAUCAAACAGGAUGAGAUACCCCAGUAGUC
rnacentral:rRNA from 1 species